rnacentral:rRNA from 1 species
CGCACGGGUGAGUAACACGUGACUAAUCUACCCUCGAGUGGGGAAUAACUGAGAGAAAUCUUAGCUAAUACCGCAUAAUACCUACGGGUCAAAGCAGCAAUGCGCUUGAAGAGGAGUUCGCGGCAGAUUAGUUAGUUGGCAGGGUAAUGGCCUACCAAGACGAUGAUCUGUAUCCGGCCUGAGAGGGCGCACGGACACACUGGAACUGAAACACGGUCCAG